rnacentral:rRNA from 1 species
AUACGAGGGGUGCAAGCGUUAAUCGGAAUUACUGGGCGUAAAGCGUUCGUAGGCGGUCUAUUAAGCAAGAUGUGAGAGCCCAGGGCUCAACCUUGGAACUGCAUUUUGAACUGGUAGACUAGAGUACUGUAGAGGGUGGUGGAAUUUCCAGUGUAGCGGUGAAAUGCGUAGAGAUUGGAAGGAACAUCAGUGGCGAAGGCGGCCACCUGGACAGAUACUGACGCUGAGGAACGAAAGCGUGGGGAGCAAACAGGAUUAGAUACCCCGGUAGUCC